GACGAACGCUGGCGGCGUGCUUAACACAUGCCAGUCGAACGGAAAGGCCCUGCUUUUGUGGGGUGCUCGAGUGGCGAACGGGUGGGUAACACGUGAGUAACCUGCCCUUGACUUUGGGAUAACUUCAGGAAACUGGGGCUACUACCGGAUAGGAGCUCCUGCUGCAUGGUGGGGGUUGGAAAGUUUCGGCGGUUGGGGAUGGACUCGCGGCUUAUCAGCUUGUUGGUGGGGUAGUGGCUUACCAAGGCUUUGACGGGUAGCCGGCCUGAGAGGGUGACCGGCCACAUGGGGACUGAGAUACGGCCCAGACGCCAACGGGAGGCAGCAGUGGGGAGUAUGGCACAAUGGGCGGAAGCCUGAUGCAGCAACGCCGCGUGCGGGAUGACGGCCUUCGGGUUGUAAACCGCUUUCGCCUGUGACGAAGCGUGAGUGACGGUAAUGGGUAAAGAAGCACCGGCUAACUACGUG
rnacentral:rRNA from 1 species